rnacentral:rRNA from 1 species
UUGAAAAGAACUUUGAAGAGAGAGUUCAAGAGUACGUGAAACCGUUCAGGGGUAAACCUAAGAAACCCAAAAGAUCGAACGGGGAGAUUCAUCGUCAGCGACGCUGGCUUCGCGUCGGUGGGCGAUGUCCCGCGGGGCCUCGCGGCUCGCGCGCGGACACGCCGCCGUGCGCUCGAUGUCCGGCGUUUCGUCGUCGUGCACUUCUCCCCUAGUAGAACGUCGCGACCCGCUGGGUGUCGGUCUACGGCCCGGGUGCGGUGGCUGACGCGUCGCCGGUAAAACGGCACGCGUCAAACCCCCGGUCGCCCGGCCGGCUGCCCGGCGGUACACGCAAGGUAUCAGGCCGCACCGCGCGCGCGCCGCGCUCUCUCACGGGGGCGCGCGCGCGCGCGCGAUCAGUGCGUCGAGGCCGUCGCAAGCGCGCGCCACGGUACACGGAGGAUAAACGGACCUGGCGCCGUCACCGGUCCUGGCCCGCUGUUGGUCGCACGGUUAACCUUCGACAGGCCCGCGAACGUCCCCCCUACGCCGCCGGGGCGACCCGACGGCGUUCGCGGGGACCGAUACCGGUCGGCGACGCUACUGCUUUGGGUACUCUUAGGACCCGUCUUGAAACACGGACCAAGGAGUCUAACAUGUACGCGAGUCAUUGGGACUAGCGGUAUACCUAAAGGCGCAAUGAAAGUGAAGGUCGGCCCUGGUUGUCGACCGAGGGAGGAUGGGCCGCGUCCCGACGCGGCCCCGCACUCCCGGGGCGUCUCGUUCUCAUCGCGAGAAGAGGCGCACCCAGAGCGUACACGUUGGGACCCGAAAGAUGGUGAACUAUGCCUGGUCAGGACGAAGUCAGGGGAAACCCUGAUGGAGGUCCGUAGCGAUUCUGACGUGCAAAUCGAUCGUCGGAACUGGGUAUAGGGGCGAAAGACUAAUCGAACCAUCUAGUAGCUGGUUCCCUCCGAAGUUUCCCUCAGGAUAGCUGGCACUCGGCCGUUCCGCACGGAACGCGCGCGAGUCUCAUCUGGUAAAGCGAAUGAUUAGAGGCCUUGGGGCCGAAACGACCUCAACCUAUUCUCAAACUUUAAAUGGGUGAGAUCUCUGGCUUUCUUGAACUAUGAAGCCACGAGCAUCUCGGAUCAGAGUGCCAAGUGGGCCAUUUUUGGUAAGCAGAACUGGCGCUGUGGGAUGAACCAAACGCGGAGUUAAGGCGCCCAACUCGACGCUCAUGGGACACCAUGAAAGGCGUUGGUUGCUUAAGACAGCAGGACGGUGGCCAUGGAAGUCGGAAUCCGCUAAGGAGUGUGUAACAACUCACCUGCCGAAGCAACUAGCCCUGAAAAUGGAUGGCGCUGAAGCGUCGAGCCUAUACUCCGCCGUCAGCGGCAAGUGGGGCGGCCGUGCGCGCCAGGGGCGUCUCUACCCUCGCGGGGGGGACGCACCCGGGACGACGCACGGGCCGCCACGAGGCCCUGACGAGUAGGAGGGUCGCGGCGGUGCGCGCAGAAGGGUCU